rnacentral:lncRNA from 1 species
AGUCCCUCCUCACCAUCUGAUAUUUCUCCUUCUUUUUCUGCUCCUGUCUCUACUCCAUGUCCUCCUGCUGCUGUUCCAUUGCAUACUUCUGUCAACACUUCCCAUUCUCUUCCAAUACCAGAACCUAUGUUACCUGCUCCUAGAAGAUCAAGCAGGCCUCAUGUCCCUCCUGCACACCUUCAGCAGUACAUCUGUGACCUUCCUCCUUCCAUCUCUGGCACUAGUUCUUUUUCCACUUGCUGUAACAGCUCUAUUCACACUGCACCUGUUGAGCCACUCAGCAGUACAUCUGUGACCUUCCUCCUUCCAUCUCUGGCACUAGUUCUUUUUCCACUUGCUGUAACAUCUCUGUUCACACUGCACCUGUUGAGCCAACUUCUUACAGCCAGGCUGCUUCUGAUCCUGCCUGGCAGGAGGCCAUGACCAAAGAAUUUGAAGCUUUGGCAGCCAAUAAUACAUGGUAUUUAGUUCUCCUUCCUCCUAGUAAGAAGCCUAUUGGUUGCAAGUGGGUUAACAAAGUUAAAUAUAGAGCUGAUGGGUGUGUGGAGAGAUAUAAAUCUAGGCUGGUUGUUAGGGGUGACACUCAGGCUGAGGGUGUGGACUUCACUGAUACAUUUUCUCCUAUUGUCAAAUUCUCUACUAUCAAGUCCUUAAUUGCUGUUGUUGUAAAACAGUCUUGGACUCUCUUUCAACUGGAUGUCAAUAAUGCCUUUCUCCAUGGUGAUCUAAAUGAAUAAGUAUAUAUGAAACUACCCCCUGGUCUAACAGUCUCUUCUUCUUCUUCUUCUUCUUCCCCUUUAGUAUGCCUUCUCCAGAAAUCCUUGUAUGGAUUAAGGCAGGCUUCUAGGCAAUGGUAUGCCAAGCUGUCCCAGGCUUUAUGCUCUAAAGGGUAUUCUUCCUCUCUCAAUGAUUACUCCCUCUUUCAUAAGAAAACUGGUCCCUCCAUUGUGUUGUUGGCUGUGUAUGUUGAUGAUAUCAUUCUCACUGGUAAUGAUGUGGAGGAGAUUACUGCCUUAAAGGCAUUUCAGGAUUCUGCUUUUAAGAUCAAAGAUUUAGGUGUUCUCAACUACUUCCUUGGUAUUGAAGUUAGUUACUGUGCUGGUGGUCUUUUACUUCACCAAAAGAAAUUCAUUGCUGAUCGUCUCCUCACUUAUAACUGUCUUGCUGCUUCUUCUGUGACUUGCCCCCUUGACCUUUCUGUUAAGCAUAAGCAGGACAUGGGGGCUCCUCUUUCUUCCCCUGAUCCUUACAGAAGCCUAGUUGGCAAGCUUAACUUUCUCACCCACACCAGGCCUGAUUUGGCCUUUGCUGUGCAGCACCUUAGUCAAUUUCUUCAAAAACCUUCCUCUUCUCACAUGCAUGCAGCCCUACAUACUCUUAGAUAUCUUAAAGGAACUUCUGAUCUUGGUGUUUUCCUCAAUAAUACCCUUGAUUUAUCCUUGACUGCCUACUGUGACAGUGACU